GUGGGGAAUCUUGCGCAAUGGGCGAAAGCCUGACGCAGCCAUGCCGCGUGGAUGAUGAAGGUCUUAGGAUUGUAAAAUCCUUUCACCGGUGAAGAUAAUGACUGUAGCCGGAGAAGAAGCCCCGGCUAACUUCGUGCCAGCAGCCGCGGUAAUACGAAGGGGGCUAGCGUUGCUCGGAUUUACUGGGCGUAAAGGGCGCGUAGGCGGACAUUUAAGUCAGGGGUGAAAUCCCGGGGCUCAACCUCGGGACUGCCUUUGAUACUGGGUGUCUUGAGUAUGAGAGAGGUGUGUGGAACUCCGAGUGUAGAGGUGAAAUUCGUAGAUAUUCGGAAGAACACCAGUGGCGAAGGCGACACACUGGCUCAUUACUGACGCUGAGGCGCGAAAGCGUGGGGAGCAAACAGGAUUAGAAACCCCGGUAGUCC
rnacentral:rRNA from 1 species